rnacentral:hammerhead_ribozyme from 1 species
ACACUGCUGAGGAGUCCCAUAAUGGGACGAAACAGUCGUCCAGUGC